rnacentral:rRNA from 1 species
CAAUAAGCGGAGGAAAAGAAACCAACAGGGAUUACCUCAGUAACGGCGAGUGAAGCGGUAAAAGCUCAAAUUUGAAAUCUGGCUCUUUUAGAGUCCGAAUUGUAAUUUGUAGAAGAUGCUUCGGGUGUGGUUCCGGUCUAAGUUCCUUGGAACAGGACGUCAUAGAGGGUGAGAAUCCCGUAUGUGACUGGAUACCUAUGCUCAUGUGAAGCUCUUUCGACAAGUCGAGUUGUUUGGGAAUGCAGCUCAAAAUGGGAGGUAUAUUUCUUCUAAAGCUAAAUAUUGGCCAGAGACCGAUAGCGCACAAGUAGAGUGAUCGAAAGAUGAAAAGCACUUUGGAAAGAGAGUUAAACAGUACGUGAAAUUGUUGAAAGGGAAGCGCUUGCAAUCAGACUUGCACUUGGUGUUCAUCAGGGUCUCGUACCCUGUGUACUUCAUCAAGUUCACGCCAGCAUCAGUGUGAGUGGUUAGAUAACGGGCUUAGAGAAUGUGGCCCCUCUGAGUGGGGGUGUCAUAAGCUCUAUGGUGCAAAUGUACGCCCUGACUAGGGAAACUGGAANGANCCC